UGCCCAGUAAUUCCGUUCCCUACCUCCGUGUGGCACCGCCGGAUUGCGAGCAACUUUAGGGAAGAUCGGGUAACCAACCCCGGUGGGAACUUUGAUCGUAAGCUGACAGGGAAGG
rnacentral:ribozyme from 1 species